CGAGUAGUAGUUUAUCUAAAAACGAAGACUUUGGGAGUCUUAAAAUUAGUCACCCUAACCACUUGAC
rnacentral:tRNA from 1 species